rnacentral:rRNA from 1 species
CCUACGGGUGACUGCAGUGGGGAAUAUUGCACAAUGGGGGAAACCCUGAUGCAGCGACGCCGCGUGAGUGAAGAAGUAAUUCGUUACGUAAAGCUCUAUCAUCAGGGAAGAAACACUGACCUUAUGGUCAUCAGACGGUACCUGAGUAAGAAGCCCCGGCGAACUACGUGCUAGCAGCCGCGGUAAUACGUAGGGGGCAAGCGUUAUCCGGAUUUACGGGGUGUAAAGGGAGCGUAGACGGUGCGCCAAGUCUGGAGUGAAAUGCCGCGGCUUAACUGCGGAGCUGCAUUGGAAACUGGCGAACUAGAGUGCGGAAGGGGUAAGCGGAAUUCCAGGUGUAGCGGUGAAAUGCGUAGAUAUAAGGAGGAACACCAGUGGCGAAGGCGACUUACUGGACCGUAACUGACGUUGAGGCUCGAAAGCGUGGGGAGCAAACAGGAUUAGAUACCCGAGUAGUC